rnacentral:rRNA from 1 species
UACAGAGGUGCCAAGCGUUGUUCGGAUUCAUUGGGCGUAAAGGGUGCGUAGGCGGUUGUGCAAGUCAGAUGUGAAAUACCGGAGCCUAACUCCGGAACUGCAUUUGAAACUGCACAGCUCGAGGUCUGGAGAGGUGAUUGGAAUUCUAGGUGUAGCAGUGAAAUGCGUAGAUAUCUAGAGGAACACCAGAGGCGAAAGCGAAUCACUGGACAGAACCUGACGCUGAGGCACGAAAGCUAGGGGAGCAAACGGG